GUGCCAGCAGCCGCGGUAAUACGUAGGGUGCAAGCGUUAAUCGGAAUUACUGGGCGUAAAGCGUGCGCAGGCGGUUUUGUAAGACAGUGGUGAAAUCCCCGGGCUCAACCUGGGAACUGCCAUUGUGACUGCAAGGCUAGAGUGCGGCAGAGGGGGAUGGAAUUCCGCGUGUAGCAGUGAAAUGCGUAGAUAUGCGGAGGAACACCGAUGGCGAAGGCAAUCCCCUGGGCCUGCACUGACGCUCAUGCACGAAAGCGUGGGGAGCAAACAGGAUUAGAUACCCUGGUAGUCCACGCCCUAAACGAUGUCAACUGGUUGUUGGGUCUUAACUGACUCAGUAACGAAGCUAACGCGUGAAGUUGACCGCCUGGGGAGUACGGCCGCAAGGUUGAA
rnacentral:rRNA from 1 species